AGAAAAUUAGUCUAACCAAGACAGUUGAUUUCGGCUCAACAAAUCCCAGUCCUACCCUGUGAUUUUCUU
rnacentral:tRNA from 1 species